GACAGAGGUCUCAAGCGUUGUUCGGAUUCAUUGGGCGUAAAGGGUGCGUAGGCGGCGGGGCAAGUCGGGUGUGAAAUCUCGGAGCUUAACUCCGAAACUGCAUUCGAUACUGCCGUGCUUGAGGACUGGAGAGGAGACUGGAAUUUACGGUGUAGCGGUGAAAUGCGUAGAUAUCGUAAGGAAGACCAGUGGCGAAGGCAGGUCUCUGGACAGUUCCUGACGCUGAGACACGAAGGUCAGGGGAGCGAACGGG
rnacentral:rRNA from 1 species